rnacentral:rRNA from 1 species
UACGUAGGGUCCGAGCGUUGUUCGGAAUUACUGGGCGUAAAGGGCGCGUAGGCGGCCGGUUAAGUCGAACGUGAAAUCCCCGGGCUCAACCCGGGAACUGCGUCCGAUACUGGCAGGCUUGAAUCCGGGAGAGGGAUGCGGAAUUCCAGGUGUAGCGGUGAAAUGCGUAGAUAUCUGGAGGAACACCGGUGGCGAAGGCGGCAUCCUGGACCGGCAUUGACGCUGAGGCGCGAAAGCCAGGGGAGCAAACGGG